rnacentral:rRNA from 1 species
UACGGAGGGUGCAAGCGUUAUCCGGAUUCACUGGGUUUAAAGGGUGCGUAGGCGGACAGGUAAGUCAGUGGUGAAAUCUCUGGGCUUAACUCAGAAACUGCCGUUGAUACUAUUUGUCUUGAAUAUCUUGGAGGUAAGCGGAAUAUGUCAUGUAGCGGUGAAAUGCUUAGAUAUGACAUAGAACACCAAUUGCGAAGGCAGCUUACUACACAGUUAUUGACGCUGAGGCACGAAAGCGUGGGGAUCAAACAGG